CCGAGUUAGGGUUCUCUCCCGAGGCCCGACCUCCCAACCCUGUGUCUAAUAAACCUGUAUGUGUUGCUUCGGUGGACCGGCAGUCCCCUCACGGGGGUCCGUCGCCGGGGGGAGAACGGUCUCACGGCCCGCCCCUGGAGAGUGUCCGCCGACGGCCCAACCAACAUAACAAUUCCCAAACCCAAACUAUUGUACCCUAAAACUUCUGAAUCAGACCUUUUGAUGUACCAAUCAAAAAUA
rnacentral:misc_RNA from 1 species